rnacentral:lncRNA from 1 species
AUCACCACAAUGACUUGCAAGUAAUGAUACUUUGAUGUCGGACUAUCUGUAUUUCUAAUACCAUGAUGAAAGAUUUUUGGAUGCAACCAAGUACUUGUUAAGUUGACGUGUGAGUCAAGAUCGAGUUGACCGCUCCAAGUUGUUGGAGAUAAUGCUCGGAUAUAUCUCAAUUUAGCAAAUUCUUGGCCAGAGUUGUCCUUAUGAGGAGUCAUAAGAUUUUUAAGAUUGAGAUACUAUAUCGAUGCACUGAUU